UACAGAGGGUGCGAGCGUUAAUCGGAAUUACUGGGCGUAAAGCGCACGUAGGUGGCGACGUAAGUCGGGUGUGAAAGCCCCGGGCUCAACCUGGGAAUUGCAUUCGAGACUGCAUUGCUGGAGUACGGAAGAGGAAGGCGGAAUUCCCGGUGUAGCGGUGAAAUGCGUAGAUAUCGGGAGGAACAUCAGGGGCGAAGGCGGCCUUCUGGUCCAGUACUGACACUCAAGUGCGAAAGCGUGGGGAGCAAACAGG
rnacentral:rRNA from 1 species